UACGUAGGGGGCAAGCGUUGUCCGGAAUCAUUGGGCGUAAAGAGCGUGUAGGCGGCCCGGUAAGUCCGCCGUGAAAGUCCAGGGCUCAACCCUGGAAUGCCGGUGGAAACUGUCGGGCUGGAGUCCGGAAGAGGCGAGUGGAAUUCCUGGUGUAGCGGUGAAAUGCGCAGAUAUCAGGAGGAGCACCAAUGGCGAAGGCAGCUCGCUGGGACGGUACUGACGCUGAGACGCGAAAGCGUGGGGAGCAAACAGG
rnacentral:rRNA from 1 species